rnacentral:lncRNA from 1 species
UGACAAUGAGAGUGGGAAAAUAAUAUAAAAAGCAUGAAAAAAAGUCUUGGUAGUAUAAGAAAUUUGUAAGGUUUUUUGGUUUGUUAACGAUUGUUUUUGUUCAUAUUUUCAACUUAGAAUUCUCACAAAAUCCACUAAAAAGAUUGUGUUUAUUUAUAUUUAUUAUAGAUCUUGAUUUAACACCACAAUUUUAUUUUAUUUUGAUAAAAAUAUUAUUUAAAAUUUCAAUAAAUUUAGAGGGAUUAACCCUCAAGAAAUAAAUUUAGAGAGUUUUUUUUUUU